rnacentral:sRNA from 1 species
GCCAGGCACCGUGGCGUAUGCCUGUAAUCCCAGUGGCUCGGGAGGCUGAGGCAGGAGGAUUGUGUGUUCAAAGUCAGCCUUAGCAAUUUAGCUAGGCCCUAAGCAAUUCAGAUAGACCCUGUCUCAA